rnacentral:rRNA from 1 species
GAUGAACGCUAGCGGCAGGCUUAACACAUGCAAGUCGAGGGGCAGCGUGGGGCAGCAAUGCUCUGACGGCGACCGGCGGAAGGGUGCGUAACACGUGAGCGACUUGCCCGUCACAGGGGGAUAACCGGCGGAAACGGCGACUAAUACCCCAUAUGCUGCGAUGCUGCAUGGCAUUGCAAAUGAAAGAUUCAUCGGUGGCGGAUAGGCUCGCGGGACAUUAGCUAGACGGCGGGGCAACGGCCCACCGUGGCGACGAUCAGUAGCCGGACUGAGAGGUUGGCCGGCCACAUUGGGACUGAGACACGGCCCAG